rnacentral:rRNA from 1 species
CUGAGGAUGAGCUCGCGUCUGAUUAGCUAGUUGGUGAGGUAAUGGCUCACCAAGGCUUCGAUCAGUAGCUGGUCUGAGAGGAUGAUCAGCCACACUGGGACUGAGACACGGCCCAGACUCCUACGGGAGGCAGCAGUGGGGAAUUUUCCGCAAUGGGCGAAAGCCUGACGGAGCAACGCCGCGUGAGGGACGAAGGCCUCUGGGCUGUAAACCUCUUUUCUCAAGGAAGAAGAUAUGACGGUACUUGAGGAAUAAGCCACGGCUAAUUCCGUGCCAGCAGCCGCGGUAAUACGGGAGUGGCAAGCGUUAUCCGGAAUUAUUGGGCGUAAAGCGUCCGCAGGCGGCUUUUCAAGUCUGCUGUUAAAACGUGGAGCUUAACUCCAUCAUGGCAGUGGAAACUGAAAGGCUUGAGUAUGGUAGGGGCAGAGGGAAUUCCCGGUGUAGCGGUGAAAUGCGUAGAUAUCGGGAAGAACACCAGUGGCGAAGGCGCUCUGCUGGGCCAUUACUGACGCUCAUGGACGAAAGCCAGGGGAGCGAAAGGGAUUAGAUACCCCUGUAGUCCUGGCCGUAAACGAUGAACACUAGCUGUCGGGGGAAUCGACCCCUUCGGUGUCGUAGCUAACGCGUUAAGUGUUCCGCCUGGGGAGUACGCACGCAAGUGUGAAACUCAAAGGAAUUGACGGGGGCCCGCACAAGCGGUGGAGUAUGUGGUUUAAUUCGAUGCAACGCGAAGAACCUUACCAGGGUUUGACAUCCUGCGAACCUCUUAGAAAUUUGAGGGUGCCUUCGGGAAUGCAGUGACAGGUGGUGCAUGGCUGUCGUCAGCUCGUGUCGUGAGAUGUUGGGUUAAGUCCCGCAACGAGCGCAACCCACGUUUUUAGUUGCCAGCAUUUAGUUGGGCACUCUAGAAAGACCGCCGGUGAUAAACCGGAGGAAGGUGUGGAUGACGUCAAGUCAUCAUGCCCCUUACACCCUGGGCUACACACGUACUACAAUGCUACGGACAAAGGGCAGCAAACUCGCGAGAGCUAGCAAAUCCCAUAAACCGUGGCUCAGUUCAGAUCGUAGGCUGCAACUCGCCUACGUGAAGUAGGAAUCGCUAGUAAUCGCAGGUCAGCAUACUGCGGUGAAUACGUUCCCGGGCCUUGUACACACCGCCCGUCACACCAUGGAAGUUGGCCAUGCCCGAAGUCGUUACUCCAACCCUUGUGGAGGAGGACGCCGAAGGUGGGGCUAAUGACUGGGGUGAAGUCGUAACAAGGUAGCCGUACCGGAAGGUGCGGCUG